GAUGAACGCUGGCGGCGCGCCUAACACAUGCAAGUCGAACGAUUAAAGCACCUUCGGGUGUGUAUAAAGUGGCGAACGGCUGAGUAACACGUGGGCAACCUGCCCCUCUCAUUGGGAUAGCCACGGGAAACCGUGGAUAAUACCGAAUACUUCGAGUCUCCCGCAUGGAAGACUCGAGAAAGCUCCGGCGGAGAGGGAUGGGCCCGCGGCCUGUUAGCUUGUUGGUGGGGUAACGGCCUACCAAGGCAAUGAUGGGUAGCUGGGUUGAGAGACCGACCAGCCAGAUUGGGACUGAGACACGGCCCAGACUCCUACGGGAGGCAGCAGUGGGGAAUCUUGCACAAUGGGCGAAAGCCUGAUGCAGCGACGCCGCGUGCGGGAUGAAGGCCUUCGGGUUGUAAACCGCUUUCAGCAGGGACGAGGCGAAAGUGACGGUACCUGCAGAAGAAGCCCCGGCUAACUACGUGCCAGCAGCCGCGGUAAUACGUAGGGGGCAAGCGUUAUCCGGAUUCAUUGGGCGUAAAGCGCUCGUAGGCGGUCUGUUAGGUCGGGAGUUAAAUCCGGGGGCUCAACCCCCGUUCGCUCCCGAUACCGGCAGACUUGAGUUUGGUAGGGGAAGGUGGAAUUCCUAGUGUAGCGGUGGAAUGCGCAGAUAUUAGGAAGAACACCAGUGGCGAAAGCGGCCUUCUGGGCCAUAACUGACGCUGAGGAGCGAAAGCUAGGGGGAGCAACAGG
rnacentral:rRNA from 1 species